rnacentral:lncRNA from 1 species
CGAUUCCAGAAAGCCGCGCCGGCCCCAGUCCCCAUGGGCUGAAGGCAGGUUGAGUUCUUCCCCAGGUCUGCGAGCCUCGAAGGCUUCUUUCAGACAGCAGACCCCUUAGAAGCGCAAGGCUGCUUUCUGACAAAGAAUCAAGUGUUCCUUUCAACCAGCCAAGGGACUGGUUUUCUCGCUGACCCUUUGACAGCUCCAGCCGGUCCCUCCAUUCGAGGUCCCUGACUUCCUGCAACAGACUGAGAUGGCCUUCUGAGCUUUUCCAGGGCUGACGACCACCUUCUUGAUACCUUCCCCUCUCUCGUUCUGAAUCCGUGCCCACCAGACGGACUCUGGCUCUUGUUGCCCAGACUGGGGUGCAAUGGCGCAAUCUUGGCUCACCAUAACCUCCGCCUCCUGGGUUCAAGCGAUUCUCCUGCGUCAGCCUCCCAAAUGGGGCCGUCUAGUUGCAGGAAAACAAGCUCAGGGCUCCCACUGAUUCUACAUGAUGGGAAUCCAGGCUUUCGGAGAUGAGGACUGGGAGGUCUCCAGACCACACAAGCCCCCUAUUUGCACUGGCCUUUGGAAUGAGCCUACAGCCUGCCUCCACUCCUCCUGGUACCCCAGCUGUUCUCAAGGAAUUGGCCAGAAGUCAGACUCCUUUCCCAGCUGUCCUCCACUUCUUUCCUGCCAGGCACCCUAGGCCCCAUGGUGGGAUUGGGCCUAUAGGCUGUGAUUUUCCACAUCCUUGUCAAACCUGUACUACCUGAAUGCCUAGAGGAAAAGAUACUGCCUUAAUUACUAU